AACGAACGCUGGCGGCAUGCCUAACACAUGCCAGUCGAACGAGACCUUCGGGUCUAGUGGCGCACGGGUGAGUAACGCGUGGGAACCUGCCCUUAGGUUCGGAAUAACUCCCCGAAAGGGGUGCUAAUACCGGAUAAUGUCUUCGGACCAAAGAUUUAUCGCCUUUGGAUGGGCCCGCGUUGGAUUAGCUAGUUGGUAGGGUAAAAGCCUACCAAGGCGACGAUCCAUAGCUGGUCUGAGAGGAUGAUCAGCCACACUGGGACUGAGACACGGCCCAGACUCCUACGGGAGGCAGCAGUGGGGAAUAUUGGACAAUGGGCGAAAGCCUGAUCCAGCAAUGCCGCGUGAGUGAUGAAGGCCUUAGGGUUGUAAAGCUCUUUUACCCGGGAUGAUAAUGACAGUACCGGGAGAAUAAGCUCCGGCAAACUCCGU
rnacentral:rRNA from 1 species